rnacentral:piRNA from 5 species
ACGUAGCAGAGCAGCUCCCUCGCUG